CCUGUGACUAAAGUUUAACGGCCGCGGUAUCUUGACCGUGCAAAGGUAGCGCAAUCACUUGUCUUUUAAAUGAAGACCUGUAUGAACGGCAAAACGAGGGCUUAACUGUCUCUUUUCCCCAGUCAAUGAAAUUGAUCUUCCCGUGCAGAAGCGGGAAUGGACACAUAAGACGAGAAGACCCUAUGAAGCUUUAGACGCAACGGCAGCUCAUGUUAAACCCCCUCCGUCAAGAGAUAUAAACCAAUUGAGAACUGCCACGAUGUCUUUGGUUGGGGCGACCACGGGGAAAUAACUAACCCCCGGGUGGAAUCAGGACACAUUUUUCCUCUAACCCAAGAGCUACAGCUCUAAGAAUCAGUACAUCUGACCUCAAAGAUCCGGCACCGUCCGAUCAACGAACUGAGUUACCCUAGGGAUAACAGCGCAAUCCUCUUCUAGAGCCCAUAUCGACAAGAGGGUUUACGACCUCGAUGUUGGAUCAGGACAUCCUAAUGGUGCAGCCGCUAUUAAGGGUUUGUUUGUUCAACAAUUAAAGUCCUAC
rnacentral:rRNA from 1 species